rnacentral:rRNA from 1 species
GAUGAACGCUGGCGGCGUGCUUAACACAUGCAAGUCGAACGAAGCUGCCUGGAGGAAGUUUUCGGAUGGAAUUUAGGUAGACUUAGUGGCGGACGGGUGAGUAACGCGUGGAUAACCUGCCUUAUACAGGGGGAUAACGGAGAGAAAUUUCCGCUAACACCGCAUAAGACCACAGCACCGCAUGGUGCAGGGGUAAAAUAUUUAUAGGUAUAAGAUGGAUCCGCGUCCGAUUAGCUAGUUGGUGAGGUAAAGGCCCACCAAGGCGACGAUCGGUAGCCGGCCUGAGAGGGUGAACGGCCACAUUGGGACUGAGACACGGCCCAAACUCCUACGGGAGGCAGCAGUGGGGAAUAUUGGACAAUGGGGGAAACCCUGAUCCACCGACGCCGCGUGAGUGAAGAAGUAUUUCGGUAUGUAAAGCUCUAUCAGCAGGGAAGAAAAUGACGGUACCUGACUAAGAAGCCCCGGCUAACUACGUGCCAGCCGCCGCGGUAAUACGUAGGGGGCAAGCGUUAUCCGGAUUUACUGGGUGUAAAGGGAUCGCAAACGGCAA